GCUUUUCUCCGCCGUUGACGACCAGUCCCCUUCCUCCUCCAUCGCCCCUCUCCUACGGAUCGGAAAUGAGUUCUCGUAUAUCAAAGGUACCAACUUUUGGAGUGCCAUAUAUAUCAUAUCUAUCCAUCUUUUAUUUUCGAAUAGCAUAUUUAAUGUGGCAUAUAUCAAAAUUUUCCAUCAAAUAUAUCCUCUGAGCGUGUCCAAUUAAUAAGUGGCUAUAUACAAGUUUUUAUAAUUGUAUAAGACUUUGUAUUGUUGAGUUGCCAUCAUAUCCUCCCAUUAGGUCAUAUAAAUUAGGAAGCGUUGAAUAACUCCCAUGACGAGAUUGAUCGAACCUAAACUCUAGAAAAUUUGUACAAACAAGCGUGGAGAAGUUUGGUUGGCACAACACAUGAGGGGCUGCAAAUGAAUUAAUGAAAUGGUUGAGCUUUGACAUUCUUUUUCCUAACCAAGCAACAGAUGGAGAGUUUGAAAUUUUUCUCAAUUUUUAGAACGCGCAGGAGAUCCGCGUGUCAAGUACAUAACAGAUCAAGAAAGGGAAAGGCUGCCAAAAAAUCUGAACAAAUAAAAACUGACAAAACGAUAUAAAAACUACCCUAACCCAAUCAAUUUCUCAACGCAAUUUAAUUAAGUAGAUCCUGCUUUUGCUUCCAUUGCAAACACAUUCCUAGCUCCUCGAUGUGGUAAUAAACCAAAGAUAUGACUUCUCUGAAGAUCUGAACAUUUCUUCCAAAUCAGAUCAUGAUUGACGACCUUAAUUUGAUUUGUUUUGAAGAAAGAUUGGCUGCAGCUACAAGUCGAUCUGCAUGCAACUGUAAUGUUGGUAGCUCCAUUUCUCAAUAUAGGUAUCCCUGCUUGCUUCCAUUGGAAAAAGUCCUCCAUGAUAUGGCCGACUAAAAACUGACACUGUUAGAUACAUUUCUGAAGACUGAUUACUGGGAUCCCUCGUCAACACGACGACUUUCUACAAUAUAAGUUCCAUAGUACCAUUGCGGUGAAGUUGCUUCUCAACGUUAGAUUGAGAAGCUAAUACUACCUCCAUAUUUUAAUGUAUGACGCCGUUGACUUUUUGUCCAACGUUUGACCAUUCGUUUUAUUCAAAAAAUUUAUGUAAUUAUCAUUUAUUUUAUUAUGACUUGAUUCGUCAUCAAAUGUUCUUUGAGCAUGACAUAAAUGUUUUUAUAUUUGCACAAACAUUUUGAAUGAAACGAAUGGUCAAACGUUGGUCGAAAAGUCAACGGCGUCAUACAUUAAAAUAUGGAGGGAGUAUUAUUUUUUCUCUGAUUAAUAGAUCUCGAUGGAGCAAAUUGGUCGAAGAAGGAAGAAGAACAUACAAAAACACUUUCCCCCUUCCUAUUGUCACUCUCUGUUGGCAGCAUAAUAAGGUCGUGUUUACUGUACCUGUUGAUGUGCAGUUAGGGAUGUAAGUGGGUAGUCCCGCUAUCCAUAUAAAAACCCACUUAUUAAUUUAUUUUCCAGUUCCCGCACAAUAUUUUAUUUCCCGCUUAUCCGCGCCCUUCAUGCAUCUGUAUCUGCAGUGGCCAACAUCUAUCGUGUAUUGUCAACCAAGCAAAAUCUCUGUCUUUUGUGUUUAAGAGGUGAUAAAAUCACAACAAAUUUAACUGUGACAAGGACAUUACACACAUUGAACCAAAGAGGUGUGACCAUGAACCUAGCAUUGGAUGUCCAUUUCACAGGAUUUUUGGAUAAUGAAGGAGAGAAAGACACAUUUCAGAGGAUAUAUAUAUAUAUAUAUAUAUAUAUAUAUAUAUAUAUAUAUAUAUAUAUAUAUAUAUAUAUAUAUAUAGACACACACACUGUACCACUUAUUAUUACUUCCUCAUUGGCUUGCAACUGAAUAAUCAAGUCAAAGAUAUAUAGCAAUAACAAAAACAACACGGAUUAUCUACAUAAAUGAGCAGACAGGGGGCUAAAGACUCCAUAUAAGUCUAUAUGCAUGUGCACACGCAUUAGUACAACACUCCAAUUAUCCUUCUAGAAGGAGAUUUUUAUGCCCAUCGUCAACUACUGUAACUGUCGAAGCUUGAAACAAAGCAGGUGCCGUGCCGAUAUGGAUGGACCCAAUUUAAAUGACGUACUCCCUCCAUAUUUUUAUAUUUGGUGCUGCUAACUUUUCACAUCAGAAGUUUGACCAUUAAUCUUGUAAGUAUCAUUUAUUUUGUUAUGAUUUGUUUUACCAUUAUGAAUACUUUAAACAUGAUUUGAUAAGAUUUGUAGUUUUGGUUAAUUGAUGACAAACAAUUAAGGGAUUAAUGCGCUUAUUGAAUGUAUAAGAAGGGAUUAGUUCGAUGAAGAGCCGAUGAAGAUGAUGAAGAAAAAGAUGUAAUACAAUGAGGUUUACACUAUGAUCCAAGCCUAGAAGUGACGGAAGAUGUCUAGAUGUGGUGAAGAGUUGGCAAUACUUGGCUACGCGAUGGACCAUGCAUGGGAGAAGGGCAAGCGGAGGCUUGACGCCAAAGGACCCAACUCAGUGCUGGAGGAGCAAGUGCUUGGCUGAACACCGACGAACCGAUCGAGGCCAUGGGAUGGAUGGCACAAGUUGCUGAGGAUCAACCCUUGGUGAAGAAACAGCGUAAGAUGUAAUGUCGAAGAACAUGAGGAUGUGAUUUGUUGAUGAACAUCAAGCCAAAGGCCAUUCAGCAUUGAUCAAGGCAAUGAAGAAGAUGGCGUAAAGGUAUUCGUAUUGGUAUAGUUUUUCUAUUUGCUCUUGAGUUGGUAGGAAAGCAAGGGGAUGUUGCCUUGAUGUCUAGGGAUGAGUUUGGUGCUCAAAAUAUUUUCUAAAAGUGAUUCUCAUUCCUUAUUUUUCACUUCUGGUGUUUUUCGGACCUGUUCGAAAGUGAUUUUCGGAAUUUCCGAAAAUGGUUGUGAGCCGAAAUUCGGUACUGGUCAUUUUCGGACUUGUCUAAAAGUGUUUUUUUGGGAAUUUCCGAAAAUGAUUGCGCUCAAAGUUUUGGUACUGGUCAUUUUCAAACUUGUCAUAAAGUGAUUUUAAAAUCAUUGUUGAUAUUUCAUCGAUAUUACUAGAAAUAUAAUUCCUAGCAAUUGCACCGAAAUAUUCUUGGUAUAUUUAUGGUUACAUAUGUGAUCCGCAAGCGCACGGAUAUACCGUUGUAGCAUUUUACCCGGGAGUAAUCCAAGGUAUCAUAUUAAUUUAAUCCCAAGGAAAGAUAUGAUAAGAAAGUACUAUGCUAAUAAUUCAUAUAUUACUUCUAUAGAGCAAAGUCUAUGCAGGGGUUAAUUAAUGCAAAGGGUAGGACAAGGUUGAUACACAAAAGAAAGAACCAAGAUACUUUUCACUAAAAUAUAAUCUAGGCAAAGUGGAGAAAGAAUAAGAAAAGAAUCAUUCAUAUAAUUCUUGUAUAUAGUUUAUUUAGUUUACGCUUACUAGUAUACAAUCAUGCAACCAAUACCCCUAGCUAUGCCCUUCUAGUGUUUCUAGAGACCACCCCCGAUUGCCGAGUUCCUUACAACAACCCGUCAUGGCCAUCCGACCGGUAAUGAAUAUGACCAUACCGGGAAAGUGUCUUAGGAUUAUAUAUUAACAUGGAGGAAUGCUCGUACUAUGCUGUCACCAUCAGCAGCCCACCUCUACUGACCUGCAACAUAUAACCCCAAUUAAUGGUAUCGAAUAAUCUAAGCACCACACUUACAUUAUUAGAUUAUACUCGACAUCUCUGUAGAUGACAUAGAUCAAUCAUUUGCAUGAACAUUAAACUCGCACCAAUGCAUAUAUCUAGUAAGCUAGCUACACAAUUAUAUCGAGACAAGUACAAACUAAAGUCGGUACUUGAGAAAUGUGAAUAAAGUAAAAGACCGAAAUUAUAUAAAGUAGAAUAUUUCAUUAUACUAUAAGUCUCACAAAAGAAGGAAGAGCUACUAGAGCCAUACCCGAAAUCUCCUAAAGACUCGAGGACUAAGAAAACUAUUAUGUAUUCUAUUCCUACUCCACUCGCACUAGAACAAUAAACUAAACUUGAGAGAGCUUCUUGAUCUUCUUCUUGAUCUUCUUCUUGAAUGAGCACCCCUUUAUAUUGCCUCUCAAUGACGGUUAUGGCAGUUGGAAAUGCUGGAAACACCCUCCAACAAUGACAGUGCAUCUGGAGCGUGCACGUGGAAGACCAGGAUGAACCUGGGCUGGCCCAUCCGGCCUCCACUUUUGGCAGGUGCGUCUUUUGUUGGGCUUUAUUCUCCGUGAUGUGGUGGUUGGGCCUAUUUGAUGUUAUUUUAUUGGAUAUGUAAGCCCAUCCACCCAUGAGUCUACCUCUCGACGGGCGGUGAUUGAUUGUUCAGCUAUUUUUAAACAAAAUAUGUAGAGUUCUCAGCAAACAAAUAAAAUUCCAAGUACAAGUGGAGAUAGAUUAUUCUUAAACAAAAUAUGCAUGCAAGCAUAGCUAGUUCUCCUUAAUUCCGGUUAUAUUGUCGGCCGAAAUUGGUCUAUAACAACCGUCAACAAUCACUGUGCAUCGAAAUUUUGGAUUUGAUUAUUUUCGGACUUGUCCUAAAGUGAUUUCCGGACUUAAUUUUUAGAAUUUCAGAAAAUAACUCUGCAUCAAAAAAAUUGAAAUGACUCUGCAUCAAAGUUUUUGAUCUGGUCAUUUUCAGACUUGUCCUAGAGUGAUUUUUUUGGAUUUCUCCGAAAGUGAUUUUUGGAUUUUUCUGAAAAAAUGUGUCUUUGCUCUAGAAAGCAGUUCUAAAACUACUACAGCCAUCUCAAAAUAUAGGAUCUUUUAGUCACACACUGGUGUUAAGAAAGUAAGUAUAAUUAAGUGGGAAAAGAUUAGUAGUUGAGAAGAGGAGUUAGGUGAAGAAUUCGAAUAGUGGAAAAUUGUGAUUGAUUACGAAGAGAAUGUAGGUGAAAAAACUAUUAUAUUCUAGGAUAAAGUUUUAAUGUUAAAAUUUGCUAUAUUUCCCAAAAAGCAUUGCACCUUAUUUCUUUCAGAAUGCUUUUGAUAUUUCCAUUUGUAUAACAUCUCUAAACAUAUUAGUUAUACUAGAAAAACGUCCCGCGCGUUGCCGCGGGAUCGCAUGAGAUUAGUGAGGACACUAAAGCAAUGGGAUAUUUAUAUAUUUAUUUCAUGGAUAAAUUAUUUUUUAGGAAAAAUGUGUUCAAUCUAAAUGACCAUUUGAGGGCUUUUAAAGUAAUCGACAAAAUGUUUUUUUUCUCUUUAUAUGAUCUUUUUUAAUAACUAACGCCUAUCUUUUUGGCACUAAAUAUUCCUUUCUCUAUAUUUUUUAGGAGUUUUAAAGAACCCAACAUUGACAUAUUAUUUCCUUUUAUUUGCAUAGAAUUGACAUUAUACAUGUGAAUCAUCCAAAUAAUCAGCCUCACACAUUCUUGUGUUCGUAAUUUACAUGUUUAAUGUUUUUCGCCCGAGAUGUGUUUCUACAUCUUAUCACCCAGUUUCAAACAAAUAGUAUGUGUUAAAUUCAGACCUCUACUCUACAAAAUAAGUUUUUCAAGUUCUGUCUCGAUACCUCGAUCACCUUUUCCUUGUCAAUACUAAUGCGAUUUCUUUACUUAAUUUCCUUUCAUAAGUUCACUACCUAAAUAUAUAAGUAAACAUGACCAUCUGGAAAGCUUUUUCUAAGAAAUAAAUAGAAGUUGGUAGCCUUUGCCGGGGAAGAAAAUUCAGGCAAAUUUGAAAUGUCAAAAUCAGUACAAACAUCACAUUUAUAAGAAACAACUUGCAAUAUUAUAUUUUGACACACAACGGACUUAAUAUGUCUUGCGGCCCAUGUACAAACACUCAAAUAUUUUUGUUUAAAUGUUAUUAUAUUCCAAACAGGAUAUAAGUUUGUUAUAUGAUAAAUUGUUCAAAUAUAUUUAGUUUUGGACUCGUUUGUUCCUCUCACCAUCGAAAACAUAAUAGAAUACACAUAUUACAAACUCUAUACGUUAUACAUGCAAUCAUUUCAAAUCUCAAUGGUUAUAUGACCAACAAUUUAUUAUAUUAUUUAAAAGGAAGAGAAGGGCUCUUUACAAAAUGCAAACGCCGGCCAACAUGCAUUGUGGUAUUUAUAUCUCACUGACAAAUGGCCCAAACUACAAACCAACUGAAUUUUGCUUUCAACAUAACAGCUUGCCUCUUGUAUCACUGAUGAUUGGUCCAACCUAUGAUGGACCCCUUGUACAGGCUAUGGAGCCAUGCAAAAGCCAAAGAGUUUGCAUCUAUGAAGAGGGCCAAGCAAACGGUAAAGUAAAGCAUGUACUACUACUAACCAUGAACAGUGCAACAGUAGAAGUAGCUGUGUGGAUAGCUAUGGCAGCUUAGGCCGUACCUCUCUAGGAAUAUAGAUAUACUCCCUCCAUCCCAUAAUAUAAGGGAUUCUAGGGUCUGUCCAGAUUCGUUGUACUAGGAUGUGUCACAUCCACCCAAAUUCUCUUAUAUUAUGGGAUGGAGGGAGUAGGUAGAUAUGUGAAUGAGCUCAAAUUAGUUAUUUGUUAUUUUUGAAAGCUUUUAAAUUUGCAUGGAAUCAAACUGUGAAGCAAAUAAGAUAAAAACAAUGCUUUAGCAAUGAAGCAAUCGUCAAAUGUAGUAUAGAUAAAAUAUGUACCUGGAAUUAAAAACAUACCCCACACAGUGUCGGGUGUAUUGUAAAACUUACAAAAUUUUUAGAACUUAUUCUCAAUGAGUAAAAAUUCUCCAAGCCUGUGCUUGUCUAGAUUAAAAUACAAAACCUUCUUUAUUUAUUUCCUCUCACCACGGCCUUGGCCCAAAUAUAUUUCCUGAAACCAAACUCUACUAGUCAGUGAUUGUCUUCGAUCUCUUGCCUGGAUACCAUGCAUAGAAUGAACUCUCAUCUUUCCCUUUUUGUCUGUUAAGUGAUUAUUAUUAUUAUUAUUAUUAUUAUUAUUAUUAUUAUUAUUAUUAUUAUUAUUAUUAUUAUUAUUAUUAUUAUUAUUAUUAUUAUCAACUUUCCUUUAUUUGAGAUUUAAAACAACAAAACUAGGACUUCUGAAGAAAGAAAUAGAAGAUAAAAAGUUGAACUUCCUAAUUGUGAUAUUCUUAGUAAAGAAAGUGAAACCUGUUGAAACGCAUUUUUUUUAUAUAAUCUCAGUAUCAAACUGAAUAAUGUAUUAGAAUUUCACAUGCAAAAAUCAAAACUGAAAUCAACAGAAAAAUUAAUUGUUUCAUGGUUUUAAGUAUUUAUUUAAGGACUGGACUGAAACCCAACGAAAUGGAAGCUUUGCAGAAUUGGAGCAUGAAAAUAUAAAAGGAAAAGAAAUGCUGGUAUAACUUGAUCAUCAAGGAAUGAGUGAUGAACCUUAUCGAAGCAAACAACUUAAUUAGUUAAUUCCAGAACUUCAUGAUGAAAAAAGUGAAACUGUUAUUUUCCAUCCAUGAUUAAAAUUUGUAUGAUGUUGGGUUAUAUCUUUUCUGAUUUCACUCACACAUCACGCAUUGACAAUAUCGUUGUAUUCUUCACUGAUAAUUUACCAUAUAAAAUCUUUGUACAUGUACAGAUAGAGUAAAUUAUCUUUUUUUUGCAUGAUAAUUAUGGUGAUUAAUUGUGUACAAAAUAAUAUAUUUCAACUCAUUCUGGUGUUAAAUUAUACAUAAAUUAAUAUAUUUAUAAUUACUUUUAACUAUAGGCAAGGUUGUAAAUUUUUGGAGCAUGGGGCAUGUGACCUGUGAGGGCAUGUGCCUACUCUUUUCGUGUUUUAGUUUUAUUCACUAUGCUCCAUGCUCUGCUGUUUUUUCUUUAAAGUUCUUUCUAAUCCAUUUAUAAUUUGUCACAUAUACUGGAUAAAUUGCUUGCGCAUCUAAUUCUUUUAUCUUCUGUUUUUUUAGAUAGCAUAGACCAGAGUACCAUGGCACUUCUAGCACGGUGUGACUAAGUAGUUCCAGAUCUUGAUGGUACAACUUGGCUUCUUUUUGCUUGGGACAAAGAUCAUGCCACCGUAGCUGCAUUCACACUGUGUUGCCCCCUUCAUCACCUACUAGCAAGUGGCUCUUCUUCAAGACUUCAUAGUGAUGGCGAUGUUCGUCCCUAGCAUAUUCGCCUGCCUUGUUGCGCUAUCGGCUCAAAGCUAGCCACCAGAGAGUUGUCAGCGAUCGCUCCAUGAGUGAGGAGGAGAUUACUGGCCCUAAUGUUCAUCGCCACCGUCAUUUUGUUUGUGUCGGUGGUACUCGUAGGGUUCUUCUACUACUAUCUUAUUGAGUUGAGGGUGUUUGUCUUCGAUUGUCUAUUUAUGGCGACCAGACUUACAGUGUACAUCGCGUAUGCGUUAUUUAGAGCUUG
rnacentral:lncRNA from 1 species